CAAUCACAUUGUGUUCUGGGGAAGUGAAAAGUGUUUUACUGCGUUAUUUGUGAAAAAUACUUUUUAUAAUUACGUGUGCAUCAUAACAUCUCAGCCUUAUGUGGAGAAUGGAAGUACUUGCCACACGAAAACCCUUUCUCCAGAAUGUUAUGCCAUCAGAGAGUGGAAGUAUGCAAAAUACAACAACAUUAUUAUUUCCCUACCAACACAGGUACAGUGAACAAUUAUUGUCUCUACAGAUACAAAUUGAAAUAUGCCCAUGGAGGGUAAAGUUACUUUUCAUAGGCAAGUACCACAAAAGUCUAAUUAUGGUUAUUACAUCAGUAAUUGUUCUUUAUUUGUCGAAAAAUAUCUAUAUACAACGUAAUAAAGAAUUGACAUUGUAGGUGUAAUUUGUGUGACUGCAUAGAGUAAUAGUGUGCUGUUAUUCAGUUUGUUAUGUAUGCGAUCUAGAGCUAUAUUCAAGUACUUAUUAUACAAAUUUCCAAAUGUUUGUCUUUAUUAUAAAGCAGUCACCACACUAUAUACUAGUACUUAUAUCAGGGAGAAUUGUUAUCUGCAGUUAAUAUUUUAUUUUCCCUAAGCAUGAACGAUGAUUACAAAUGCAGAACAAGAAAAUAAAAAUGGAAAAUUUCUUUCCUAAAAUGAUUCAGAGUGUGUUAAGAACACUUUACACAUGACCAUUUUCAUUUGGAGAGGUUUAUUGUGUGUUUGUGUGUGUGUGUGUGUGUGUGUGUGUGUGUGUGAACUCUUGUCUAUUAGUACCAUAACAUACAUCAUCUAAAUAAUUUAAGAACAGGAGACAUGUCAAAUAUUUGUAGUAAAAUGUUUAUGUUGCACAUUUAUUCAGCUUUUGUCUAAUAACUCUUCUGAUAUGGGUGUCAAAAAAUGUACCAAUAAAUAUGGGAAAACGUAAAAUAUUGUUGUAUAUUUGCUAUUAUAAAGAGAAAAGUUAAU